UUUUUUCUUUCUGCGGUUUUAUAAGGCUUUUUCAAAGAGGAUUCCUAUUCAUUUUGCUAAAGCUUAAAUCCGACUACAGAAACAGGACCAGCGUCCAAGUCACCAGUCCUGUUCUUAUAUUGAGAGCUACGUCAUAGUUUCUUGCUUUCAAAAUAUGAGCUCAGCAGCUGCUUGUAAUACCACACAUGGCAAAGAAGCUUUAUCCUUCUUUACAACAACAAUAUCUGCAGUGCUACUUGUUACCACAGCAACCCUCAAUGCAUUCAUUCUGAUGGUAUUUAUUCGAAAUAAGUCUCUUUGGCAGAAAUCCGUGUUUUACAAGUUGUUGUUAAAUAUAACAGUCGCAGAUUUCUUAACAGGCGUAAUCGCUGAUCCAGUCUCCAUCUCAUUCCAUACAAAAGAAGGAUUAGAGCUGCAUAUAACGAAAGGAGAAAUUAUUCUCGUGCAUUACACUUUGUUUUCUAUAAACGGAGUUUCCAUUUUAACAAUGUCUCUGUUGUGUAUCGAUCGAAUUGUUGCAUUGCUGAAACCACUGAAGUACAGAAAUGGAUUAAAGAAUUGGAAAUGCUAUUUAAUGAUAUCUUUGACAUGGCUUUUAUCAAAUUUAUUAGCGAUUCCUUAUUUUAAAAUGGGAUAUAUAAAAUAUCUAGCCAUAUUUUCAUAUUUUACGGUUGUAGUAACAGCUUUAAGCUUAGUACUUGCAGCAAUUGUAUACAAAAAGUACUUCGCAUCCUUUACUUCUACUGUGCAACCGUCUUCACAAGAUGGCAACAACUUCAGAAUAAGCAGAAAGGAGGCAUCUAAUAAAAAUAUGACCAAUGUAAAAAUUAUCAAUCGUCACAUUAAAAGUGUGAAUUAUCCAAAUAACAAUGCAGAAAAUGACGGUGAUGAAAAUGCUAAUGACAAAAUUAAAGAAGAUAAUAAAAUCGUAAGGAAACCAAAAAUGAGCAAGUCAAUAAAUAAUGUUGUAAGAAGCAAAAAAAUGUCCUUAUCUGAAGAGCGAGUAAACAAAUCAUUCAUUACGUUAUUGGUUGUGUUCUUAGUGACGUAUUUACCAUCUGUUAUCAUGACAACAUAUAUGAAUUUAUGUCAGAAUUGUAACUGCAUGUUUAUUCAUGCGUUACGAGAUUUGACAUUCCUGUCAAUACUAUCAAGCGCCUUAUGGAGACCACUGAAUUUUGUUUUACGUUUGAGAACAAUACGAAGAGAAAUGAAGAAAUUACUUGGUUAUAAAAAUUUAUCUGUUUUGCCCGAUGAAAGCAAAUUGGAUAGUAUUCCUGAGUCUUCGAAAGCAUAGUGGAUGUACGUGUGUGAUCACAAUAGAAAAUUUGGCCAAAACUAUUUUUUCCAUGUCCGUGAAAUUAAUUUUCAGCAAAAAUUAUUUUCUUUACCGCCUGUGAAUCAAAUUACCGCCAAAAUUAAUUCAUUUUUCGCCAUCACUGAAUUAUUAAAAACAAUAAAUCUAACACGUGCUGUUUUAUGAUGAUUUCAAUAAGCCCAUUGAUUAACACGCUUUUGCAAAGACUUUCUUUUUAGUUUACAGUUAUUUUUGUGAAAAACUGACAUUGUUGCGUGAUUUAAAAGAAACCCUUGCAAUUUUUUAAAUGAUUUUUUUGUUAAGUUUCUUUAAGUUAUUGAUUUUUGCAAAAUGUCUUCGUCAUCCGCUAAAUCUUCUUUUCACCAAAUUUCAACAGUAAUUCAUUGGCAUAAAAGAUGAUGAUGCAAGGAUGAUACCUACACGGUGUACACAACAGCAGAUGGAUUGUAAAUCUUUUCAACAGAGAACUUACGAUAGACAAGAUGAACUUUCUAUCGAAAGGAAUGAAUUUCUGUAUGACGCCAGCUUCAAUUACAAAGAAAGAAAUAACUGCAAAAGUGGAAGAGGCAAUUAAAGAUUUACUAAAAGAAGAGGCAAACGCAGUAAAAACUAAAGUAAACCUGCAGACAAACGCUACAGAAAAAACACCAAAGGACAAUUUACAAAUUUCUCACUGCCAUUGAUAAUCUAAAGAACGGCAAAGAUGUCAUAAUCCUGCCGACUGACAAAGAAAGAACAAUGGUUAUCAUGAAUACAUAUAACUACAUCCUCAUUGCAACGAACACAUCAAAAACAGGCCUUAAAAACUUCUCAAGAAAGAUUCUAAAAAAGUUAUAACACAAGAAGCGAGGAAAAUUUAAUGAAGUUAAAGAGAAAAGAAUACAUCGACGAUAAGCAGUAUUACCGACCACCACCUCGAUUGUACGGACUACCAAAAACUCAUAAACAGUGAAAUCCAAUUUGUUGUGGAACUUUGUAACUAUUAAGAUGUGUUUACAAAAUUAUUAAUGAUUUAUAAUUUCUUCAAAAACUUUAAAUCCACCUUUUCAUCAAGUCACGACUUAUCUUCCAAUUCUUUUAUGGUCCAAAUAAGCUUAUGCCAAAUAGGUUUAAAUUUGACUUAUUGUUCAGCCAUAAAGUAUCCUGUUAUUUUUACUAUGUUAUCUGCAUUCAGUUAUCUUUUUAAUAAUAACAUGUGGUGUCAGGUCGUAAGUAUCUUGAGAAUAUCUGCAUUUUGUUCGCUGUAUACACCUUUAAAAAAAAAUUAAAAAAACCAUUCAUAUUUACAAUGAUUUAAAUAUUUAUUAUAUAUAUACAAUUUGUGUAACAGUUAUUGGAUUUUUUUGAGUAAGACCCCUAUACGCCAUUUAAAUCUAAUGUGACUUCUCUCAUGUGGAGCCAUCUAAAGUGCAGUUGUAUAAGACUGUCAAUUAUUUGGAAAAAUUGAUAAAGUCACUAAAAUAAUUUGUUUGGAUGUUCUUGAAUUUUUUUUGGCAUUUUGCGUACUUUUUCAUAUUAUGCAAGAUUAUCCAACAAAAAAUUUUUUUUAGAACUGAAAAUUUGUGAAACGUAAUAAGUUCUUGCAAAUCUGAUAAAAGAAGAGUGAAUACAAAAAACCUAUUGAUAAAAAAUACAUGAAGAAAGUGCACUGAGCUGGUAUGUAGCGAUAAAGCUACAUCAACGCCAUAUUUACUUGACUUAAAAAGUUUGAUUAGAGAUAUAUACAACAAGAAGUAGCUAAUUGAUAGUAGUUAAAACAUUUUUCUGUGUAAAAAGAACUCUUAUACUUUAUUAUACACGACAUACACUGAUGUGUUCUCAUUUCAAUUCUUUAUCAAUAUUGUUAAAUUGAUUUGUAAAAGAAUAUGUCGUAACUGUCUUCGUUAGGACGAACAAUUCAGUAAAGUCGAUAUCUCCUUUCGUAUGGUCUUCAGACGAAUCACAAAAUUCAAUGGUCUCCAAAGAGCACUAGAAUAUAUCGAGACCAAUGUCAAAUCUCUUAAAACGUGAAUAAACAUGCAGUCACAAUCUUGACACAGGUUCAUGUACGUUGUCAUAACAACCGAUGGCAAAUACGUCAAUACAAACACUACUAGCAACGUGAUGAAUGAUUUGUUGACACGUUUUUCCGAUGACGACAUUUUAUGCGUCUUGUUAUUACUUUUUGUUGGCUUUAACUUACACUCAUUGAUAUCUCCAUCCUCUUUAUUAUUAGAGUCAUUCGUAUGUUCAUGAACUACGUUUUCGUCUGUUUCUGUAUUUCUUUUGAAUUCAUUGCAAUCAUGCGGCCUUACAGUUUUAUUGAAGGAAGUGAAAUACUUUUUGUAUACCAUAGUUACAAGUAACAAACUUAACGCUGCAAAUGUUACCGUAAAAUAUGAAAAUAUUGCUAAAUAUUUGAUAUAUCCAAUUUUAAAAUAUGGUAUCACCAGUAAAUUUCCCAAAAUCCAUGUUGAAGAUAUCAUCAAAUAGCAUUUCCAAUCUUCUAAUCCAUUUCUGUACUUCAAUGGCUUCAGCAAUGCAACAAUUCGAUCAAUACACAACAGAGACAUUGUUAAAAUGGACACUCCGUUAAAAGAAAACAAAGUGUAAUGUACAAGAAUAACUUCUUCUUUCGUCAUAUAGUUCCCAAAGCCUUCUUUUGUAUGGAACAUUAUAGAAACUGGAUCAGCGAUUACACCUGUUAAGAAAUCUGCGACUGUUAUAUUCAACAGCAACUUGUAAAACAUGGAUUUCUGCCAAAGAGAUUUAUUUCGAACAAAUACCAACAGAAUGAAUGCAUUGAGGGUUGCUGUGGUAACAAGUAGCACUGCAGAUACUGUUGCUGAGAAGAAUGAUAAAACUGUUUUGCCAUGUGUGUUGUGGCAAGUGGUUGCUGAGCUCAUGUCUAACAAUCUACACUAAUUAAAACAAAUUCAAUGAAGUAAUUUUUUACACUAUAAAUUUUCAACUUUUUUAUGGUAGGAAAAUAAAUAUUACGUCUUGUUGCGUC